GUCUGUUCCGCUUUUAUUUUGAAAAAGCGCUGUUUUCUUCUUCGGAUGUUUUUUUUUUUUUGUGACGCUAAACUUCCGCUAUUCUCUCGUCACAAUGUGGUGUUCACAUAUCGUCGGAAGAACGAGCUCCGAACUGUGAGGGUGUGUCAAGCUAGAGCACAUGGUAGCUGAUGGCAGAAACUCUUAGAUUAGCGCCCUUGGAAAAGCGGAAUGAGUUUUCACGGUGUCCAGGUGCAUGGUGCUCGUUGAGAGGAAGAAAUAAAUUGACACCCAUUUGAAACUCUCUGCGUCUUGAUCAAUCUAUAUCCGAGGGGCCGCUACAGUGAAAACUCAUCGCUGCACCAGCCCUGCCAUCUCUGCUGAGAAGUUGAGGCCAUCACAUCUGAGGUCCAAACACCAACCUAGUACCAAGCCAGUUUACUUCGCUUGCAUUCAACUCCUGCACACAGACAAGACUUAAAAUGGACAGCAUACUUAAGGUACAGCUAGACCUGCAAAAAGAGACACUGGAUGCCAAGGAGCAAGAAAGCUGAAAAGGGACCAUUUCUACACACAUGCUUGCAGCAUAACUGAAUGACUUAAUAAUAAUAUGGUAUUAUAAGGUCAAAAUAUCUUGCAAACUAAUUCUCCGUUCUUAAAGCUUCUGAAAAUGGUGAAAGAAACUAGCCCAUGCUUUUCGUUCAUAUCUGUUUAUGAAAAGGUUAAAAGGAGUGUUUUGUUGUUACUGUUUUAAGCUAAAAAUCCUUUUAGAUGUCCAUUAUCUAUUAAUGCGUAGCAUAAACAUUACUCUGUAGUAAAGGAUAACUACAGCUUACAACUGUAAAUUCAGGCGUUGGACAAUCAAAGGCCACACUCGACUUAAAGCAGCUGCACAAACAAACAAGAUGUCACUUAAAGAUACACCUUGCAGGUCCAGCUCACGAGAAAGAAAGCUAACAGAGAAAGGCCAAGAGAUGCAUGAACAAGACACCAAAAAACGUGAGAAAGCAUUUAACAAGUCCUAUGACACUUGGAAGCUGGUAGCUAGGGAGACUAGGACAAAAUUAAAAACCCUCUGUUCAUCAGAAGACCUUAUUAAAUUACAGCAAGACAUUCAAGCAAAGCAUGAUGGUGUAGCCCAGCAGUAUGAACCUAUACUUCGUAACAGUAACACCACACCAGAGAUUGUAAAGAAGAUGGAUGCUUGUGUUACGCUAACAAAAGACAUUCUUGACCUUAUUAGUAACCGUCUAGAGACUGUUAAUCAAGAAUAUAAUGAUCAACUUGAGAAGGAAAGGGUAAGAGAAAUCUUAAACAAAGAUGAAUAUGGGUCUGUCUUUGGCCACACUAAAACUGAAAUGGUAAGUUCAGCAAAGUCACCGGAGAGAUUGAGCAACCACUCCAGCUCAGCCAGUACUCACAGCAGUAGAGUAGAUGCACAAGCAGAGUUUGUGGCUAAGCUGGAACAAUCAAAAGCCAUAAAAGAAAUC